rnacentral:rRNA from 1 species
AUUGAACGCUGGCGGCAUGCCUUACACAUGCAAGUCGAACGGCAGCGGACCUUCGGGUGCCGGCGAGUGGCGAACGGGUGAGUAAUAUAUCGGAACGUACCUUUCAGUGAGGGAUAACGUAGCGAAAGUUACGCUAAUACCGCAUAUUCUGUGAGCAGGAAAGCAGGGGAUCGCAAGACCUUGCGCUGAUUGAGCGGCCGAUAUCAGAUUAGCUAGUUGGUGAGGUAAAGGCUCACCAAGGCGACGAUCUGUAGCGGGUCUGAGAGGAUGAUCCGCCACACUGGAACUGAGACACGGUCCAGACUCCUACGGGAGGCAGCAGUGGGGAAUUUUGGACAAUGGGCGCAAGCCUGAUCCAGCCAUGCCGCGUGAGUGAAGAAGGCCUGUGUAGU